rnacentral:rRNA from 1 species
UGGGGAAUAUUGCACAAUGGGCGAAAGCCUGAUGCAGCAACGCCGCGUGAGGGACGACGGCCUUCGGGUUGUAAACCUCUUUUAGCAAGGAAGAAGCGAAAGUGACGGUACUUGCAGAAAAAGCGCCGGCUAACUACGUGCCAGCAGCCGCGGUAAUACGUAGGGCGCAAGCGUUAUCCGGAAUUAUUGGGCGUAAAGAGCUCGUAGGCGGUUUGUCGCGUCUGCUGUGAAAACCCGAGGCUCAACCUCGGGCCUGCAGUGGGUACGGGCGGACUAGAGUGCGGUAGGGGAGAUUGGAACUCCUGGUGUAGCGGUGGAAUGCGCAGAUAUCAGGAAGAACACCGAUGGCGAAGGCAGAUCUCUGGGCCGUAACUGACGCUGAGGAGCGAAAGGGUGGGGAGCAAACAGGCUUAGAUACCCUGGUAGUCCACCCCGUAAACGUUGGGAACUAGUUGUGGGGUCCAUUCCACGGAUUCCGUGACGCAGCUAACGCAUUAAGUUCCCCGCCUGGGGAGUACGGCCGCAAGGCUAAACUCAAAGGAAUUGACGGGGUCAUAGCUG